rnacentral:rRNA from 1 species
AACGAACGCUGGCGGCAUGCCUAACACAUGCAAGUCGAACGAAGCCUUCGGGCUUAGUGGCGCACGGGUGCGUAACGCGUGGGUAUCUGCCCCUUGCUUCGGAAUAACAGUUAGAAAUGACUGCUAAUACCGGAUGAAGUCUUCGGACCAAAGAUUUAUCGGCAAGGGAUGAGCCCGCGUAGGAUUAGGUAGUUGGUGGGGUAAAGGCCUACCAAGCCGACGAUCCUUAGCUGGUCUGAGAGGAUGAUCAGCCACACUGGGACUGAGACACGGCCCAGACUCCUACGGGAGGCAGCAGUGGGGAAUAGUGGACAAUGGACGCAAGUCUGAUCCAGCAAUGCCGCGUGAGUGAUGAAGGCCUUAGGGUUGUAAAGCUCUUUUACCAGGGAUGAUAAUGACAGUACCUGGAGAAUAAGCUCCGGCUAACUCCGUG